UUGAACUCCUCCUAAAGCUGCCUGUUAUGACUAGAUUCACCUGCAGAGUUGGUCACAAGCAGACCCUGGAAACGGACUGAAUGACCAGACCAUAUAUGUUGUUUCUUGUAGGCUGAGCCACAUUAAUGUACUGUACUCCUGGUUGUUUGCCUAGGGCAACUGCAAGAAACCCCACAUUUGCCUGGAUUACCAUCAUGAAGGUAUACAAUUGCUAGAGACAUCAAAGCCUGCUAUGAUGGAUCUCCAUUUGUUUUGUUGGCUAUACUAACUAGCAAGCUCUCUGUCCCACAGGAUGGGAAGAAUGUAAUACAUCAUUAAAGAUUUACAUAAAUAUUA